UGUCCAUCUCUACCUCCGUAUCCCUCUCUCUCCUCUCUAUCACACUCUCGCAGAUGCCACAUCACACCACACGCUCUCCCUUUCCCCCUCUCUCUCUCUCUCUAUCUCUCUCUCCCUCUCUCCCGUCCGUCUGCUCUCUGCUCUCUCAUUCGCUCCGCCGGCUUGACGCCGGCUGUCACUUCAUUUGCCGCGGCGGAGCAACAACUGGCUUCUUUCAGCACCGGUAGCGAAGAGGGGAUGGCGAGAGCGGAGUGAAGAGUGGAAGAAGAAAAGUGUGAGGACGAGAGGGAGAAGAGGAGGAGGAGGAGGAGAUCUUUUGUUAAGCAUCCAUCCCUCCCCUCAUCCCUCUCUGGCAGCAGCCGCAGCAGCAGCAGCAGCAGCAUCAGCACCGCUCCCGCUGCUGGAUCCUCCGUCUCCUGCCGGGAUCUGCCUCCUCCUUCUCCUCAGGGAACUGGGAGGGGGUGGGAGAUCGCUGCCUCCCGGCACGCUGCGGACCCUCGGCGAGCCGUCAGGAGGGGAGGGAAUUGUGAGAAGAGGCCGUCGGGAAGAGCAGAGGAGAGGCAACACCCUGGGUUACAGGAGAGAAGAGGAGAGGAGAAGGAGAGAGGAUGUCAUUACGCCCAGGUUAGGGCUGAGCCGGAGCGGUGAUGGCAGCAGCAGGGAAACCAAAUGUCCCUGCCGGAUGACGACUUCCAGGAGACCGGGGCAGCGCUGCCAGGCCGCGGCCCAGAGGAGCCAUUGAUGGAACCCUGCCUCACGCUGCAGCGAGGCGUCUUCAAUCAAUGCGACUGCCCCGCUUUCUCUAGAUGUGUAUGUGUCCUAAUGCCACUGGAGCCUGAAGGGGGGCUGCUGAUGGCAGCAGCGAUGGCCAUGGCGGUGAUGAUGCGAUGGCAGUGGCGCUGCUCUCAUGCUUUCUGGCUUAGCUCCCCUCGUUAUCUGAAAGACUCUCUUCGGUGACGGGUAUUCUUGGGUGGAUAAUACGGAUCACGUUGUUAUUGCUUAAGAAUACGCGUAGUCGAGGAGAGUCCUCUCUUCGCCCGACACCAGCAACACCCCCCCAUCCUCCGACAUCCACCCACCCACCUCACCUCACCCCGACCACCCACCCACCCACCCACGGAGGACUGUCAGGAUGGGUAAAGCCACGCCCGCCACUCUCCACCCUUCCAAAAAGAGAAACUCACCUCUUCUUUGAUCUGUCCUGCAUUGCAAUUUUUUUUUGAGCCAUGGUUCGAGGUCCGGAGUGUCCUCACGUCUGUCCCAGCGUGCAUCUGUCAGUCUGUCUCUGUGGCAAUAGACAGCAUUGUGUUUUCGUCUGUUCUUUCUGUGUGUGUGUGUGUGUGUUUGUGUGUCUGUUGGACAUGCAGCUUGGAGGUUGUUAGGUCUCAUGGAGAUAACUGGCUCUUUGUCUGACAACUUCUGAUCACGUGUCUGCAUGAACAGUGUCUGUUCCCAUAAUGGCGGGCCAGCAUGACAGCCUGCACACUCACACAAACAUGUACAGAAUAUUUACAGUCCUCGGGGUCAGGCCUAGUUAUUGCUUUGCAGACAAAUGAGUUCAGUAUUUAACAAGCAGCAACCUGAAUAUGUGCUGGGACAGUGGAACAGUUUGAUCUGUGUAAACCUGUGUCAUCUCUCGUCACCUCUUUUGGAACAGCAGUGGCCCUGCGGCUGUGGCUCCAUUGUAUUUCUAAGCCGACCUAAACCUACUAGGGGCCCCGGGGCAAUAAUGAACAAGUCGGCCCUCAUUAUCCCCCCUUUCCACCCACCCACUGUACAAUGUACAAUACAUGGCCCCAGGUUCGUCGGGUGAUCAUUUGAUUAAACACAAAUAAUUCAGGAACAUGCAGCAACAGAAAGUCCAGAAAGUAGAUUUGGUCUUUCAGACACGGCUCCAGCAUUAGGAAAUAAAGCAGGCUCUUACCAUAUCAGUAUUGUACUUUAAUGGUGCAUGUUCUAUAUCAAAUUUUCAAUUAACCACAAACCAGUUUGAACAGUAAGCCAGGAGUUUUGGGGGGCCCUGCAGCUUAGGGGGCCCAGGGCAGUUGCCUGCAUUGUGGUUAGUAAAGCACCCUAACCCUAACCCUACAGCUACAGGCUUUCAUUUUAAUCACAGAAAAAAGAAAUAUAUUUUUUACCUCCGUUGUUCCUCUGUAAUGAAUGACUUCUUAAUAAUUCACUCUGAAGAGACUGCAGGAUUCUGACUCAGGCUGCAACUAAUUCUUCUAACUAAUUCUUAUUUAUUUUUUUUUUAAUUAAAAUUUAAUCUCUCGAUUAUUUUUCUGAUAAUUCAAUGAAUCGUUUGUUCUAUAAAACUUCAGAUGAUAGUGAAAACUGCCCCAAGCCCUUAGUGACAUCAUUUUGUCUUAAGCCCAAAGAUGAUCACCUUACCGUGAUGUGAAAUAAUAUCUGGUAUCUGGUGAUUAUGUUGUCGAUUUAUCCAUUAUUAGAUUAUUGUAGAAAAUGUUCCAUAAUAGUGAACGGUUACCACAGUCCAUUGUGAUGUAUUCAGACAUCUUCUUGUGUCCGAAGAACCGUCCAAAGACAAAGACAUCUAGUCAUAUCAAAGCGAGGAAAGCAGCAAAUCCUCACUAACUGGAACCACACAAUGUUUUUUUGCUGGAUUAAUGACUUCAUUUUAUUAAAUUUGAUUUGAUAUGGACGUCACUGCAGCACAAGGACCAGACGCAAAUGCUUUACAGCACCUGUCCACGGGAGGCUUCGUUUUUAAAAGAGGCACAGAUGAUGUGGUUGCUGGUUCUUUUUCUGUAAAUCAACAAAUUGAAAAAGAUUAUUUGUUUCAUUUUCAAUUGUGACUUUAACAAAAAAAACACUUCCCAAACAGUAACCAUUUUAUAUUUGCCAUUUUCGGGCCUGUGAACACAAAAAGGGGCCAAUUUAAAAAAAAAAAUCAAAUGAAGACCAUUUGGUUUGGUUUCAUUGGGAUUGUUUAGGACCUGCUGGUGGUCCGUGUCAGACCUCAUGAUGAUGACAAUUCCCAGUCACUUUUUGUUUCGUACUUUUGCUCAAUUCCCAAAUGAUUGGCUGCAGCACCCCGAAGUCUAAACAUAUGAGUAUCUUCAUAUGGAUCAGUAUGAGUAGCCCAUAAUAUUUGAUAAGGAAGCAGUAGACAGUAUUGUGCUGUAUUUUCCUCUGGCUGAGCUUAUUGGGUGGAACCUGAGCUGAGGCCCCCACCCUGCCACAACAACCCCACCCCCACCCAUGCCCCCCCCCCACCCCCUUAAGCUCCUUUUUUAUGCAAAUGGUGCUAUGCUAAAAUUACAUUUAUUGCAGUUUAGAGGUUUACGCCACAUGCAAUACUUCUGCUGCUGAGCCUCACACACGCACACACGCACACACACACAU